AUUGAACGCUGGCGGCAGGCCUAACACAUGCAAAUCGAGCGGCAGCGGGAAAGUAGCUUGCUACUUUUGCCGGCGAGCGGCGGACGGGUGAGUAAUGCCUGGGAAAUUGCCCAGUCGAGGGGGAUAACAGUUGGAAACGACUGCUAAUACCGCAUACGCCCUACGGGGGAAAGCAGGGGACCUUCGGGCCUUGCGCGAUUGGAUAUGCCCAGGUGGGAUUAGCUAGUUGGUGAGGUAAUGGCUCACCAAGGCGACGAUCCCUAGCUGGUCUGAGAGGAUGAUCAGCCACAAUGGAACUGGGACACGGUCCAGACUCCUACGGGAGGCAGCAGUGGGGAAUAUUGCACAAUGGGGGAAACCCUGAUGCAGCCAUGCCGCGUGUGUGAAGAAGGCCUUAGGGUUGUAAAGCACUUUCAGCGAGGAGGAAAGGUUGAUGCCUAAUACAUAUCAACUGUGACGUUACUCGCAGAAGAAGCACCGGCUAACUCCGUGCCAGCCGCCGCCGUAAAAC
rnacentral:rRNA from 1 species